rnacentral:tRNA from 1 species
GCGCCCGUAGCUCAGUGGAAGGAGCAGCCGCCUUCUAAGCGGUUGGUCGGCGGUUCGAAUCCGCCCGGGCGCACCA